AAGUGUUCACACAGAGUUAGAUAGAGGACUAGAGGUAUGUACUGAUUGUUGCCAUUUAAAGGAUUGUUGUCAUUAUAAAGUAGGUGUCAACUAGGUGCGCAUUUCUGUGAGUUGUAAUUUGGGUAUUACAUGAAACAUUUUUAACGUUAUAUCACUACCAUCUAGUGGCCACUAUAAAUAAGUAACAAGGCUCCGGCACUUAAUGGCCAUGCUAAACCCCCAACAUUCACUUAAACACUUGUUCUCAUAAUCUCACAUAUGAAGGCGAGACCUGUAUCUAACUCUGUGUUCACCCCAUAUCUACCUGUUGUUCUCCUGACGUGUUUUAAAGAGUGUAAUUAUUUAUUGGUCCAGAAGAAGGAACAGCGUGUGAACGGUAGGGGAGGGGCAUUUUCUCCAUAUAGUAUUCUUCGUGUAGGUCAAAGCUAAGGUAUGGUGAAGUUUAUUUUUUUUUAGACAAAGAUGACACCAUUAGUCAUUCGGUGGGUUCCAUAAAACAAGGGGGUGCCGUGUUGACGCGUGCCGCCCAGCUCUCUGACUAAAGUGACAUCCUUGCACUCUUUUCUAGACCUUAACCUGUAGACUCUCCGGGAGUAUUUUUUGUGCUCAUAUCAGUUUUUGUACGCUCACCUUCAGUCUACGGAAGGAUGUCGGGUGUACGCACUCCACCUGUUCUGUUGCAAGGGUAUUUAACAGGUAGGGUCUUAGCGUUCUGAUAGCAAACUUUAGUUUUAGGACUUCUGUUUGGAAUAGUGAUUACACCCCAGACCACUACUGUUCUGACUUUCUCUUGGAUCAUAAGCACCUGAUCCUGCUGCAUUAGAAACAUUUCUGCCAGGGAGCUGGGUGAAUCACGAACAUUUGCUUGUUUACAGGUGACACUCUUCUGAAACAGUCAGUAAGGAAAACAACACCUACACUGUUUGAGUAGACCAGCCUGAUCUCGUGGGCACAAAUUGUUUUCCGUUUGAGUGAACAAAAGUGUGAAAACAGCAAUCGCUUUGGCAUCAUGAGGCUGGCGUGACUGACCUUACUGUUCAGAAACGACCCACAGAUACGAAAACGUGCACAAUCUGUGUUUUUUCAUUAGUGUCAGCAUAAACCCGCCAACAUCUAAAAUGUAACAUAUCUGUUUUGACUUGUCUCCUACAUUCAUUUUUAUGUGAAGGUAACUUUUGUAAGUACUGCAGUCAGUUAGUUACUGCAGGUAUAGAUUUUAAUAAAGUCAAUGUUCUUUUGUUCUACAUGCGCAAGACUGUUUGAAAAGAUUCAGCACCCUAUGACACUUGAUUAACUGCAUUCUGUGCUCUGCGUCAGUUCUAGGAAUGACAACCCAACUGUUUCCAUGGUGCCUAGGAUGGUGACGUCAUAGCUGAGAAUAUACACUGCCUUGCAAACAUAUUCAAGGCUCUGAACAAAUCUACCAUAUCACUGGAUUACAAAUGCUGGGAGACGAACACACACCCACCCACCCUGCAGGAAAGGAGCAGAAGGAUAAAACUUUUCGUCUUUCACACGCACACCCACGUAUUCUGAUGUCUCUUUGUCCUGUGGCUUUUAAUGUCGCUGUAAUAUGGAAGCCUGCAGAGGUUUGUGUGUGUAUGAGUCAUCGGUGGUCCCACCAGCUCUCUUCUCAUCGUCCUGAGCCAAGCCGACACAACAGGGUCACCCUGCACCUCAGGACACACGCCAGAGACCCAGCAAUCAUUCCACGGUAAUGGAGCUCUGUGGUAGAAAGCCUGCCUCCACCUGCCUCCGCA
ensembl:lncRNA